GUCCCGGUAGCUCAGCGGACAGAGCACCGCCCGGCUGGGCCGGAGGACGCUGGUUCGAGUCCAGCCCGGGCACC
rnacentral:tRNA from 1 species